UACGUAGGCAGCGAGCGUUGUUCGGAGUUACUGGGCGUAAAGGGUGUGUAGGCGGUUUUCUAAGUUUGGUGUGAAAUCUCCCGGCUCAACCGGGAGGGUGCGCCGAAAACUGGGAGACUAGAGUGCGGGAUGGGAGAGUAGAAUUCCUGGUGUAGCGGUGAAAUGCGUAGAUAUCAGGAGGAAUACCGGUGGUGAGACGGCUCUCUGGACCGCCACUGACGCUGAGACACGAAAGCGUGGGUAGC
rnacentral:rRNA from 1 species